GAAAUGCGAUAAUUAAUGUGAAUUGCAGAAUUCAGUGAAUCAUCGAGUCUUUGAACGCACAUUGCGCCCCCUGGUAUUCCGGGGGGCAUGCCUGUCCGAGCGUCAUUGCUGCCCUCAAGCACGGCUUGUGUGUUGGGCUUCCGUCCCUGGCAACGGGGACGGGCCCAAAAGGCAGUGGCGGCACCAUGUCUGGUCCUCGAGCGUAUGGGGCUUUGUCCCGCUCCCGUAGGUCCAGCUGGCAGCUAGCCUCGCAACCAAUCUUUUUAACCAGGUUGACCUCGGAUCAGGUAGGGAUACCCGCUGAACUUAAGC
rnacentral:misc_RNA from 1 species